rnacentral:ncRNA from 1 species
GUAACAACGAACUGUGAGAAGUCAGCAGAGGUCAUAGUACCGAAAAAAAUUUUUUCGGGAAGGAC